rnacentral:rRNA from 1 species
GGGGAAUAUUGCACAAUGGGCGAAAGCCUGAUGCAACAACGCCGCGUGAGUGAUGAAGGCCUUCGGGUUGUAAAGCUCUGUCUUCUGGGACGAUAAUGACGGUACCAGAGGAGGAAGCCACGGCUAACUACGUGCCAGCAGCCGCGGUAAUACGUAGGUGGCAAGCGUUGUCCGGAUUUACUGGGCGUAAAGGAUGCGUAGGCGGAUACUUAAGUCAGAUGUGAAAAUCCCGGGCUUAACUUGGGAACUGCAUUUGAAACUGGGUAUCUAGAGUGCGGGAGAGGAAAGUGGAAUUCCUAGUGUAGCGGUGAAAUGCGUAGAGAUUAGGAAGAACACCCGUGGCGAAGGCGACUUUCUGGACCGUAACUGACGCUGAGGCAUGAAAGCGUGGGGAGCAAACA